AAUGCAGAGCUACUGUUUUGAGAAUUCACAAUUCAGAUGAGUAUACAUUAUAAAUUUUCUUUAGAUGUCUGCGCUUAUAAUUUUGAUUGAUGAACUUUCUGUUUGUACGGCAUUUGAAUAUGUCCUCUGGAAAGUAAUGUAGACACGUGUUUAUCUUAUAAUCAGCAAGAUAUUUUAUUCAAUCACUGACUGAAUCAGUCUGAAGUGAAUUUUAGUUAUAAAAAAAUGAAUAAAAUAAACAGGCAUAGUGAGCUGACAAACACUCACAGGUAAAACAUGGGUGUGGUCGAGCGUUUUUGUUUGCAUGUACAUGCGCAAAAAUGCAGUACGUUAGUCCAUUAUUCUCGGUCAUUAUUAUUUAUGGACUUAAAUCAUAUGUACAAUCACAGACAAGUUCUGGUUUCACCCGAGGUGUAUUGAGGUUUAUGCAUUUCUAACGUACAUUGUUGCGGAAAUAUUUUGUAACAUGAUUUAGUAUCGUUGGGAUGAAUCAAAGAAUUUUGCUUUAUAGCCUAAUAUAAUUUUCAAAAAUUUACAAACUAUUAUGUCAUUAAAUCAAAUAGAAAUAUACAUGUGCUUGUUUCUUACCAAUUUUCAAAAUUAUACUUUAAAUAUCUUGCUUCAAGAGUGAUAAAAAGCAUGCUGCAUAUUCUAGUUCUAGUAACAGCUUAACAGAUCCGAUGAGAAAGUAAUUGGUUCCAUGCUAUUUUCAACAGUAUUUCAGUUAUGCAAUGGCGGUCAGAUGGUUGAAGUGUUCGUAGAGACUGCAAAAGGAAAAUUGGUAUGUAAUAAGGUAAUGUAAGCUUACGCUUUUUACGUGUCCAGGAACGAAAUUGGCUAUAUUAACUUGAUUGGCUAUACUAGCAAGAGAGCGUUCCAGUUGGGUUCGUACCAUGGCAUGAAACAUUAACAGCUGACAAGAAAGAUACGUGUAUAUUGGAUGUUUUCAUAAUGUAACAUAUUGGUUAGCUGCUGUUUGUUAGAUUUCGAAAGAUAUGUAAGAUAUAUUUUCAUUUUAUACAUCAGCAGUGUAACCUAGAUCUCAACUGUUAUAAUGUGUAACAGUAAAUGAUAAGUUAUGCUUAUGAAAAUUAAUAACAUACUGUCACAAUUCUAAGUCGUUGAAAUAUUUCUUAAAGCACGAAAGCGCCAUGUUUAAAUAAAAUAAUUCACGGAUUUAUAGAUAUAUUAUUAAUUCAUUGUAAUGAAAUUACAAAGCUCUUUCAGAACUGUAAAACAAUAUAAUGCGGACAUGUUCGAAGUAAGGUAAAAUGUGUUUUUCAUACUUAAGUCUGGUUACUGUUUCUGAGAGUAUUUUACAUAAGAAUAAAAUCCAGCAAAACAACGAAACUUAUGGAGAACGGUGCUAUAGAAAUAAAAACACAAACAUUCUGAGCUAAAUGGAAUAAGCCACACUACUUGGGAGUGCGACAAGUGAUUUCCCAUGAACCAAGUUAAUCGAACCGAAUCUGCUAAUGCUUUGCAUGGUUCCGUUCUGCAAUAAUUAUCAUACACAAAGACUUAUAUAAAUAAAUACAGAUUAUUGUUAUAUUUUGAAAAAUAUUCAGCUAUAAAUGUAUUUCUUAAUGACUAAAAUAUGGAUUUGAGUUAUCAAUUUUGUUACACGCUAAUGAAAUGCAUACACAUUAUUUUAGACGCAGUUCUAGCCUGUACGCUUUGAUGCGGAUUAUCCAUUACGUCAGCAACUGUAACACCAGCAUUAACACGGCCAAUCUCUGGUAUAAGGGGCUGCAGAAAACUAAUGUCCUCAACCGGCUAUUCUCCUAAUGACUUUAAACAGUUUAGCUAUAAGAGCGGCGUGGCAUGGUUUGGAUCGGCAGCUAUUGGGGCACCUUGUAUUGAAAGAAUCACGUUUUCGCUAGUACUAGUGCACGAAACAUAACCUAGAAGUUAAAUGUGAUGGGAACAUUAAUCGUUUGGAAAGAACAGAAAUGUGGCUAUCAAAAAUAGAAGGUGCUGCCAAAUUGCUGAAUAAUAAAAGCCAAAGAUUUACUUCCCACAUUUUCAGGGGUUCUGUUCAUACUGUUGUUAUUGUGUGCAUUUGAGAACGUCGAGAGUAUAGUGCCGUCUAAUAUUUCCCUGGCUAGGAAUGGUCUGAUCAGAAAUGAACUGAUCGAAAUCUAUUUUGCCGAAGGACGAAAGUAUUAGGAAAUAGUUGUUUUUAUUCUGUAAACACAACAUUAAAAUAAGCAAACGUCAUUUGAAACGAAUCAUGCGGGAAUUGUGUUUACGGAGACAUCCUCAGCCCUACUCAUCUGCAGAAGAUAUGAUGAACGGAAUAAAGUGCGAGUGGAGUGUAAGAGGGCAGUGUUUAAAGUAUGUGGAAAAGGCUGAUAAGAAAGAAAUUAAGAGAAACGACGUCAUGAAAUUCACAAAACAGAUUUGUCCAGAUGUAACAGAAGAACGAAAAGUACAUAGGUUGAAGAGGAGAGUGUAUACAUUGAAAGGACCUUAUUAUGUGUGGCAUGUGGAUGAAUACGAUAAAUCAAAGCUGUAUGGAUUCUGUAUUCAUGGAAGCAUUGACGAUUACAGUCGUAGUACCAUGUGGCUUGAAGUUGCAUCCAGUAAUAAUGAUCAGUCUGGUUUUGCCAAGUUCUACAUGGACUGUUUUAAUCAUGUUCAGUGUGCUCCAGUAAUUUUACGAGCAGAUAUGGGGACCGAAAACAGUUCUAUGAGCUGUUUGAAGCCGCAUUUUACGUACGAUUCAAACGACUUUUUGGCACUAAAAGAUUUUACUUGUGCGGAAAAAGUACAGCAAACCAUAUAGAAUAGAGCAUUUUGUGGAAUACUUCGUAAGCUCGGUAUUCACUGGUGGAUGAAUUUAUUCAAGGAUAUAGGGAUUGCGAAAUAUUUUACAUCGAUAAAACAGUGAUAAAAGAAUGAUUAAGAUUUUGUUUAUGGACGCGUUGCAAACGGACUUAGACAGAACUGGACAGCACUGGAAUUCUCACAGUAUACGACCACAAAACUCGAUGUGUUGUAUUUUGUCUCUGAACUGACUUAUGCCCAAUACUUUGGGACUAAAGUGAAAAGUGAGAUGUGAAUGCGUGCAUCGGUCAUUUUUAUGCCCCCGCCAUAUGGGGCAUAUAGUGUUACACCUGUCUGUGUGUGUGUGUUCGUUUGUGUUUGUUUUUUUGUGCGUUUCUCUGUUUGGGAAAGGAUGGUGUUCUAGUACGGGCCAUAACUUUGACAUGCAUGGUUCGAUUUCAUAAUAAUUUCACGCAAAUAAUAAGCAUGGAUAGACAAUGUGUCAUGCGCAAAAACCAUUUUACUAGCUUAAAGGUCAAGGUCACAGUCCUUGGUUGAACUUAGUCAAUUUUCACUACAUAUAUACUGAUGAUGUGGUCUUUGUGUCCGGUCCAUUACUUUGACAUGCCUAAUCCGAUUUCGAAAUAAUUUGACACAAAUAAUAAGCAUGGAAAGACAAUGUGUCAUGUAUAAAACCAAAUCCCUAGUUCCAAGGUCAAGGUCACACUUAGGGACCAAAGGUCACAUACAAGAACGACUUCGUCUUGAGCAUUUAUUCUUCAGCUUCAUGCAUAGAGGGAUUUUGAGGUAAGUUGGCUCAAUUGUACACCAUCAUGACACAGAAUGUCAUGCGCAAGAACCAGGUCCCUAGUUUAAAUUUACUUCCAUUGCUGUUACUAUAAAUAGUUUAUAUUGUAACUUUUUAUUACCAGUCGUAGGGAAAAAUCAAGACCACUUUUCUGUAGUACAACAUGCAUGUUACAUCCAAUUUUAAGAUGUAUUUUGGCCUGUCUCUACCUGGUAAGGAUUUUUGUGUGGAUUUCUUUUAUAUUGUUUUUUUUUAAGAUUAACUUCCCUUAGUUGUUACUAUAAAUAACUUAUAUUGUAACUACUUUAUAAUUGACCGUAGGGAAAACCAAGACCACUUUUCGGUGGUACAACAUAGAUGUUGUUUUCAAAUUUUAGGUGUAUUGUAAUGUAACUUUACCUGGUAAGGAGGUUUUUUGUGGACUUAGAAUUUUAACAAAAGAAUUACAAUAAUAACUACACAACCACAGAAUUAAAAUUCCAUUUGCAAAUACAGGUGCUAGUGUAUAUUUGCUAUGACGGGCGUAUAUUGUGACAUGCUGGCACUCUUGUUGUAAAUAAAUAGGGUCAAGGGUCAUCCCUUUUGUUUGUGAGCAGUACCAUGCCUGUGACCAUUUUCCUCUGUGUCUGUGACACAUUUCUAGUUUUGAAUACGGAAGCAUUUUUGCAGUAGAGAAUUUAGAGACCUUGUAAAAACUAUAAAACCAAGUGUACAAUUCUAUGUUUAUCCAUUUGAUGCCUUAAAAAUUUUCACCGAGCUGAAUAGUCCUUUGGAAGAAUACAUGUACAUAUAGAGAAAAAAUAUGUUGCAUAGCUAUAACUGAACUGGAAUUCUUUUAAACCAAACUUAAUAUGUCCUUAAAGUGUCAUUUUAAUAUAUGUCACCCUCCUACACAUUUUAUUUGAACUGUGUUGUGGACUUAUUUCUUUGUUCAAUUAAAUCCAUGUUCCCUGACUAUAAAUGAAAUCGAUUGGAUUAACAUAUUGAUACUUUCUAUAUUUUUAGCCUUUCCGGUGUGGUUAGCAUGGACUUUUUAUAAGUAUAUAUGAGUUAAAUGUAUAUUAUCAAUAACUUUACAUUACAAAUUCUGGGGUUUUAAACUUACAUAUAGGGGCCUCCAUGGCCGAGUGGUUAAGGUCGCUGACUUUAAAUCACUUGCCCCUCAUCGAUCUGGGUUCGACCCUCACUCGGGGCGUUGAAUUCUUCAUGUGAGGAAGCCAUCCAGCUGGCUUACGGAAGGUCGGUGGUUCUACCCAGGUGCCCGCUUGUGAUGAAAUAAUGCACGGAGGGGCACCUGGGGUCUUCCUCCACCAUUAAAGCUGGAAAGUC